rnacentral:misc_RNA from 1 species
CCGAGUUUACAACUCCCAAACCCCUGUGAACAUACCACUUGUUGCCUCGGCGGAUCAGCCCGCUCCCGGUAAAACGGGACGGCCCGCCAGAGGACCCCUAAACUCUGUUUCUAUAUGCAACUUCUGAGUAAAACCAUAAAUAAAUCA